rnacentral:rRNA from 1 species
UACAGAGGGUGCAAGCGUUGUUCGGAAUUAUUGGGCGUAAAGCGCGUGUAGGCGGCUUUGCAAGUCGAGUGUGAAAGCCCCCGGCUCAACUGGGGAGGGUCAUUCGAUACUGAUCGACUCGAAGGCAGGAGAGGGAAGCGGAAUUCCCGGUGUAGUGGUGAAAUGCGUAGAUAUCGGGAGGAACACCAGUGGCGAAGGCGGCUUCCUGGCCUGUUCUUGACGCUGAGGCGCGAAAGCUAGGGGAGCAAACGGG